GCCAAUUUGCAUGGCCCAAUUCCCUCAAAAAAUGCCCAGCUCACAUCUCUAACCUACCCAAACCCCUUACCCUUUAAUAAAAAAUGCCUAGACCUAGACCUAAAAGAGUACUCUCGAUCCCAUCUGAAAAAGAACGAAGAACAGACCCUUACACAGAGCAAAAACGGUGCACAACACCUUCCUAUUCCAAGGCUUUUUCUUCAUUGUUCUCCAAAAACCAUAACCGAAAAAUCAAAAUCCCCCCUAUCUGAGAAGCAACGCUGUUUGCUGGCCUCUUCUUCCUCAUAAACACACAUGGAAAACUAAAAAAACGCAAAAAUAGUAAAAAGCAAAAGUUCUGCGAUCCAAAAUUGAAUCCGAGAUCUGUAAUAGCAAAAACUUUCAAAAGAAAAGAAGUAAAAAUAGUAUAGAAAGGAAUCUCUAAAGUGGGAAGCUACUGCCGAUUUAUUUUGGUGGUUGGUUUGGGAAUUUUUGUAUUUGUGAGUUGAUUUUUGGCUGGGAUUUCGCUGAGCUGAGCUGCUGUUAUUUCCUCCUUCACUGACUGAGCGCCAUCGCCCAGUUCCCGAUCUGGAUUUGUUUUUGUUUAGCUGAUCGUUCCUGUAAUUAGGUACAUAAACGCUUGCCUAAAAUAUUCCGUUGUUUUAAUGAAAUUUCAAUCUCAUACUUGAUUUUCAUUUUCAUAAAUUGUUUCCUUUUUGUUUACCUUUAUUGUUUUAAUCGUUUGGUUUCUUUUAAUUUUUCUAUUCCUCCCUCUUUUACCAGUGUAUUAAUUCUUUUCCCUCACUUCUUUUGCUCAUUUUUUUUGUUUUGAACGGAAGUGCUGAUGUAUUUGUGCUUGGCUUGUCAGUGUAGUACAGUUCAUGUGAUUUUAGUCUUCGCUUUCUUAGAGUUUGUCUAUUUUGUUGGUGUGAGUUCUUUGUUUUCGAAGUUAUUUUGCGUAAUCUUUUCUUUGUUAUUGCAAUUUCUUUAUUUGUACCAUGUGUAUAUGAAAGUCAGUUCCCUAUUUUUUUUUAAUAAUUGUUAGAUAUUUUUUACAGGCAUGUUAGUAUUUGUUCCUUAUUUUUACAAGCAUUAUAUCAUUUCGGUGAAUUCUGUUUUUGUUACCAACAACUUAUUUGAAGUGGGCUAGGCAUCCUAGGUGUUUGAUGAUAUGUUAAUAAGAGCUGAAUCUGGACUUCCUGUUCUGUUACAUUUCUUUACUCAUGAUUAUGUGCUGCUUUCCCCAUAGAUGAAAAUUACAUUUCAUUUGAUUUAGUUACUCGCGUGAAUUCAUCUACUGACUUUGUUUUUUUUUUUUUUUGGAUUUCCAUCUUCUAUAAAUCUUUUAAAGAUUUGAUUUCGCUUGUCCAUUCAUAAAUACUUUACCAACUCUUCGUCUCUACACUUCCUUCCACAAAUUUUAUUUUUCAUUACUCAUGGCCUCACAAUAAUCUCAAAUUAAUUUUAGGAAGUAAAUAUGAACAUCUGUAAUUUGCUUUAAGUUGAGUGCAAUAUUUUAAAAAUAAGUUGUGGUGUGCCAUCCAAAUCACAUAGUCUAUGGCCCUCGUAUCAUUAUCUUAAUUAACGUAGGGAAAUGCCUUGAACCUUCGUAGUUGCUUUAGGUGCGUUCUUUAAAUAAUUCAUCAUAGCAAUAGGUACGGUUCCCGCGACGUAGUUGUGAUCUUUAAUUAUUAAAAUACGGGUGUAUAUUUUAUGUGACCCAAUUUCAAUCAUCAACAAUGUUAAAUAGAACGUGUCGCGAACUGCGGGUGCAUUUCAUGUAGCAUAGUUCAAGACGUGUUUUAAAUAGCAUUGAAUCUUCCUAAAAAAAUAAUUAAAAGCGGUUAUAAAGCUAAAAAUGCACAAAUGGUUUAAAAAAUAUAAUUAAUCAGAUAAUUAGGCCAAUUUUAAUAGUUUAAGCGACCGUGCUCGAACUACGGAAUCCGGGAAUGCCUAACACCUUCUCCCGGGUUAAUAGAAUUCCUUAUCUAGAAUUUCUAGUUCGUAGACUUUAAAAUAAAGUCAAAUUUCCUCGAUUUGGGAUUUUAAAAUAAACCGGUGACUUGGGACACCAAAUAAACUAUUUCAAGUGGCGACUCUGCUAAAAUAAAUAAAAUAAUCCCAUUUCGAAUAAUGUUACUUUAAUUGAAAAAACUCCUUUAUACUCUCCCUCGAGUGGUAAAAAGGAGGUGUGACAGCUUUGGCGACUCUUGGUUCAGGUUCAAGAAUUCGAGCUUAGAAUAAUUGUUAUACUUGGCUUUAUUUAUUAUCUGACUUUUAUAUGUUUGAGCCUAUUGUGCUAAAUGCCGUUUUUACCGCUUUGAUAUUGUUUGGACUGUAUAUAAAUUGUUAUGAAACCCUCUUCUCUAUGAGUCUUCUAAAUCAUCUAGGAAGUGUGCACUUCGUGUGACUUCUUUUCUGUUAGAGUCAUAUCCCAAUUUUAGAAUAAGGUUCGGACAAGUUGCAAAGCCCGUGAAGCUUCUGUAUUUCCGGUACGCUGCCCCCCUCGGCUCGAGCUGUUCGCUCGGGUAAGCCAGGUCUAGAACAAUUACACCCAGGUUUUAAACCUAGAAUAAUAUAGCCUUAUACCGGAUACUUAGUAGGAAUGCUUGUUUGCAUCACGUUCAUUUGACUUUGGGGACUCAACACAGAGGUUGGAUUCGUUUAGGACAGUUGUACCCAAAUUAAAAAAGACUAUCCUGAUGCAUCUUACGUGCUACUUGCUCAUCUGUUUGUUUUGGCUUGCAUGUUGAUCGGCUUCUAGAAUAGGGAAAGAAAAUUUAAAAAAAAGAAGAAAAAAACAAGAGUGAGAGGUAGUUAUUUAGAAAAUUCUGAAACUCUGCCGAAAUUCUGAAAAAAGAAGUCAUUUCAAAAUGUGCCAAAAUUUUCAAGUGCCAUGUUUCCAUGUUCCGUCAAAAUUGACCGAACUACGCGGGUCUGAUUCUCACCGUAUGUGAUAUACGUAGGCAAACCUCAUCGGUUCCGGCCCCAUUUUUUUUUAAAAAAAUCCAAAAAUAAUUUCCUUUAAUUCUGUCCUUAGAAAAUUCAAAAAAAAUAUUUUAAACUCAAAAAAAUAGUUUCCUUCUUUUUGAGGUCAUUCAUAUGAAAAAAAAAUCAAUCAUAAAUCAAAAUUCAAAAUACGGGUUUCCUUUAUUUUUGAAGAAUUUUUCUCAAAAAUUCAAAAAAAUGAAUUAAAAAAAAACUUUUCCUUGUUUAAAAGUCUCUCUUUCAAAAAAAAAUUGAAAAAAUUGAAAUCCAAAAAUAUUUUUGCUUUUCUUUAGAAGUGCUUUCGUAAAUAAAUAAAAACUCAGAAAUCCAAAACAUUUUCUUAAAAGUCCCUCUUUCGAAAAUUAAGAGGCAACAUCCAAAAGCCUAAAAUAUUUUCUUUCUUCUUUAGAAAAAGAGAAAACGAAUGAAAAUUCAAACAAAAAUAUUUUCCUUUUAUUUUUGAAAUUCCCAAAGCUCCAAUCAAAAGAAAAGGAAUUUUUAGAAGUCUUUUUUUUUAAAAUAAAACAAAAAUCAAAAUCAAAAUCAAUAAAAUCAAAAAAGAAAAUAUUUCCUUUCCUUUUUCAAAGCAUUUCUUUCAAAAAAUUUCACCAAAAAAAAGUUAGUUUAUUUACUCCAUUUUCGAUUUUCCCGAACUACGCAAGAUCUGAUUCAUGCGGCGUCAUGAUACGUAGGCAAUCCCCAUCGGAUUCGAUCAUAGCCAUAAAAUUAGUUGAGUGAUAAAAUAAACUAAAAAAAUGUGACAAACAAAAAGAGAAAAAGAGCACCAAAAAUAAAAGAGCGGAAAAAACGAGAUGAGAAAAUCAAGUGUGAUUAAAGAGAGGCAAAAAUGAAGAAAAGAGGCAUAGAGUGAAAAGGGUUAGUUAAGGUCGGGAUGAAACAUGCAAUCGUUCAAACACAUGGUAGAAAUGUUUAACUGUUUAGGUGCAUUGCAUCCAAACGUGGGAUUUUCUAUCUGUUAAGCAUCUCAAAACUAACAAGGUUAUUGAGUGUGCAAAUUAGCUAGAUUUUGUUGGUUGGUUUUGUUGGUAGUCUAGUCUCCCCUCUUUCACAAGAUCCAAAGGCACAGAUGGCCUCAGCAAGCAAUCUACCAAUCAUCGGUCCUGAAGAUAGCCCGGCAUCGACUAUUCGGCAGCUAGAAUCAGUAGCUGCUGAAGAGAAUAAGAUGUUGCGUCUCCGCAUAUUGAAAAUGUGGGACGCCUGGUCUAAUGGUAGGGAACUGGUAAGUGCAAUCCCUGAGUUCCCUGAGUUGAUCCCUAGGUCAGGUGAGUUUACCAACGCUCCUGUGCCCAACCCGCUCAUCCCAUGCGGGCACCCUCCAAUGCUGUCCAAUAUUCCUGGCAUGCCUUCUGUGGUUCGCCUCCAGGCGCCAGUUUCCUGGGCACCUCCAAUAUUGUUCUCUACAGCACCAGUCUGUACCAGAACACAACCAACUUUACCACGGCCGUAUGUUGAUCCUCCAAUGUUCACCUUUCAGGGUCCACGGCUUCAAUCAGAAAUAACAUAUGUGAACCCGUACUCUCUAACUCAACCUCCACAAUAUGAUCUCUUGGUGGAGCAAGAAAAGGUUGUUAAAAAUCCCGAGCAAGAGGAAAUGGCUCAGAAGAUGAAGAGCCUGGAACAAAGCCUGAAAAACAUGCAAGGUCUGAGUGGCCAAAAGAUUGUCUUAUACUCUAACCUCUGUAUGUUUCCCCAUGUCCACUUGCCAGUUGGCUUCAAGAUGCCAAAAUUUAAAAAGUACGACGGGCAUGAAGACCAGUCGCUCACCUAAAACGAUACUGUAACCAGUUGAGAGGUGCUGAUGGAAAAGAGGAGCUACUAAUGGCCUAUUUUUGGGAAAGCCUCACCGGAAUCGCUUCUGAGUGGUAUACGGAUCAAGAAAUUACUCAUUGGCAUGUGUGGGAUGAUGUGGCUCGAGAUUUUGUCCACCAUUUCCAAUAUAAUGUGGACAUCACUCUCGACAGAAACUCUUUGUUCAAUUUGAAAAAGAAAACCGCAGAAAGCUUCCGUGGAUAUGCUGUCAAAUGGUGUGAGAAAGCUGCCAGGGUAAAGCCUCUAAUGGAUGAAAUUGAAAUGGUCACGGUCUUUCUACAGGCCCAAGAGGCGGACUACUUCCAGAACAUGAUGUCUGGUAUGGGAAAGCCAUUUGCUGUGGCUAUCAAAAUUGGGGAGAUGGUAGAAAGUAGGCUAAAAACGGGUCGAAUCUUGAGUCAUGCUUCUUUUAAAGCCAUAUCACCAGAUGUUCAAAAUGGUUCAGAGGAUUUGAUAAAUGAAAACAGGAGAGAAGAAAUGUCAUGAUGGCUUCCAGCUCGAGGGGGGCUGGCAGGUCAUUCAGCCAAUCAUAUACGCUUCCUGAGGUCCCUCAAUAUUAUUAUCUCCUUCAAGAUGCUGCUUAUGCCACGACACCGCCUCCUUAUGCGGUGAUGAACGUGCAACCUUACAUGCGGCCACAAUAUUAUCCACAAAACCGAGCUCCACCUCCCAGAAAUGCCAUCCUUACCAAGCUCCAUAUAAUUCUCAGCCAAAUGAUCCCCAAUACAAUCUUCGCCCAAGAGAGCCUUUCAGAAAGAAUCAGUUCACUCAUAUUGGUGAAUCGUAUUCAAGCUUGUUCCAAAAGUUAAUCAGGCUAAAUCUAUUGCUGCCAGUGGCCCCGAACCGUCCAAACCCUGAGUCCCCCUCACACCGAGCUGAUGCUAGAUGUGAAUACCACUUUGGAGCAGUGAGACACAGUACGGAGGACUGUUGGACCCUCAAAAGGGCAGUCGAAGAUUUGAUUGAAGCUGAAAGAAUUAUUUUUCUGGAUGAAGAAGCUCCGGAUGCGAUGAAUAAUCUAUUGACUGCACACACGUUAGGCCAAUAGUCGGAAUGAUUUGUGAAGCUAAGGAAUUUGAUCCGACACUGAAGGCUAUUGCAGCCAUUGCCGAGACAGAAGAAAAGCCAAAAAAUGGUCACUAAGCAUGAAGUUCCCCAUCAGAUGGGAGUCUUAGUAGCCAGUAUUGCUAUCCUUUAUGCGUCCGGAUUAUCUCAGGGUGUGAUUCAGAUGUUUUACCUUAUUAUCUUACUUUCUGAUGUAAACCAUUCUAUUUUCAAAAAAAAAUAAAAAAAAAUCAAAUGAAACUAAUAUUUUAUUAUCCAGGAAUGUCUCUUUUCUUAAUCUUGUCAUUUUUCUUUCUUAUUCUCUUUUUAGUUUUGUUAAAUGCAGAUUUCAAUAACAUGACAUGCUUGCGGACUUCAUGCC
rnacentral:lncRNA from 1 species